rnacentral:rRNA from 1 species
UACGUAGGAGGCAAGCGUUGUCCGGAGUUACUGGGCGUAAAGCGCACGCAGGCGGUCUUGUCAGUCUGUAGGGACAGGGCACAGCUCAACUGUGUCAGGCUUAUGGAAACUGCAAGACUUGAGGGCUUCAGAGGGAUGGGGAAUUCCGGGUGGAGUGGUGAAAUGCGUAGAUAUCGGGAGGAACACCAGUGGCGAAGGCGACUUCCUGGCCUGUUCUUGACGCUGAGGCGCGAAAGCCAGGGGAGCAAACGGG